GCUCAACAAAUUACUACCUUGACUAAAAGUUUUUCCACACGUUGUGCAAGAAUACAGCCUCUCGCCGGUGUGGAUUCGCUGGUGGGCCAUCAAAUGACCACUUUGAUUGAAAGACUUCCCGCAUGUUUUACAAGAAUACGGCCUCUCGCCAGUGUGGAUUCUCAUGUGGAUCAUCAAAUCACUGCUUUGACUAAAGCUUUUCUCGCAUGUUUUGCAAGUAUGCAGCUUCUCUCUUGUUUGCAUUCUGUGACAUGUCCUCUUUUGAGACUUUUUAUUGAAGGCCUUUUUACGUUUUCUUAAGGGAAAACCAUCUCCUUUCAAAGGCUGUUUACCUGUAUCAGUGUUACACUUAUCAGCUGGCAUGGGAGAGUUUUCUGUAUCAUUGCUCUGACUUCUGCUUCUAUUUCCAGUCGAUCCUGAAUUGACAUUCCCGCUUCCUUCCUGAUCUUGGCUCUCAGCUACAGCAGAGCUGUGAGCAGGGAGCUGGUCACUGUCUGGUUCUGCUUCACUCUGGUCGCUUUCCCCCCAAGUAACAGUCACCUUAAAAAUGGUAUCAUUCUCUUCCUUCACUACAACCUGCUCUCCCUCCUGACUCCUGUUCCUCUGUACUCUGUGGAGGUUCUGGUUCCUCCCGGUCCAGUCUGGAGCUCCUCUCCUGGUUACA